UAUAAAGCUCUUGAUCUAGUGUGCCAUACAAGUAGGCCGUUUUCACAUCAAAAUGCCGCAAUGUCAUUUUCUUUCGGCUAGCCAAACCUAACAGGACACGAAACGACGAGUGCUUCGUCACAGGUGCAAAGAUUUCGUCAAAAUCUUCUCCGUACUGUUGAGAAUAUCCCUGCGCCACUAGACGAGCCUUGUAUUUGGUGAUGUCUCCAGAGGCGUUUCUCUUAAGUUUAUAAACCCACCUACACCCGACCGGUUUCUUAUCUGCAGGCCAAUGCUUCUCGAAAAGUUUUCGGUUCCAACUCCUCCUCAAGCAGUCGACCAGUAGCAAAAACUUCUUCAAUCAAUCGGGCAGGCUUGAUACCCUUCGUCACUCGAUCUGAUCGCCUUGCGAUUUCAUCCAAAGGGAAGCCUCUGAAUGAACGUUCUCCGUCAGAUGCACUAUCGUACUGUGAUAAAUCGUUGUCAAGCUCCAAGAAGGAUUCUGAAUCACAUUGUUGUUCACUGACCGGACUCUCAAACACAUGUUCCUCCGGAAACAACUGCACUUCGAAAUUUCCCCUCUCAACAGGCUUUGAAGUAUCCUGCUGAAAAUCCACUUUUAUAUCACACAGCUCAAGAAAUUUUGCAUCUCUACUGAUUGUUAUGGAAUCCGUCUUUACAUUCAGGAAACGAUAGGCUUUCCGCCCUUCAGCAUAGCCAACGAAAUGUAAUUUUUCUGCUUUAAGAUCAAGCUUUCGCCUCUUUUCUUUAGGGAUAUGCACAUAAGCCAUCGAUCCAAAAACUCUUAAAUGUGCAUAAGACGGUUUCUUUUGGUGCCAUAAUUCAUAUGGGGUUGACUCAACCGACGAAGACGGUAAAAAAUUUUGUAAAUAAUUUGCUGUUGUAAUUGCCUCCCCCCAGUACUUUUUGUUCAAGCCUGAUUCCGCCAACAUGCAUCUCAUCAUUUCUGUCAAAUAUCGAUUCUUACGUUCAGCGACUCCAUUUUGCUGAGGAGAGUAUGGAGCAGUCUGCUGAUGAACAAUACCAUUCUGUGCAAAAAAUCGUUUCAACGACAUGCUGGAGUAUUCACCACCCCCAUCUGAUCGAAUGAUUCUAGGAAAAUAACCAUAUUGGUUCUUGAUUAGAUUGCAGUAUUCUUGAAUUCUCUUUUCAGCAUCUGAUUUCUGCUGAAGCAGAUAAAUCGUCGAAUAUCGACUGAAAUCAUCAACCAUCACAAUGUAAAAACGAUUUCCUCCUGGAGUACUAACUUCCAAGGGACCUCCCAAGUCAGUAUGGAUUAGAUCGGCCACUGCCUUCGUUUUGCUUCCAGAACUCAAGAAAGAUUCCCUGCUCAUUUUUCCUUCAGAACAAAUGCCACAAAUCGAUUGAACUUUACAAUCACUAAUCUUCAAGCCCACAGCUAGAUUAUUGUGAAAAAUUCGAGAUAUGGCCUGCGAAUCACGAUGCCCUAGCCGCCGGUGCCAUAAAUGUUGACAAAAUUCAUUGUGCUUCGUUGAUGCCAUCAUUGCCUUUUCUGGACACUGUUUCAAAUGAUAUAACCCAUUUUUACGUUGUCCGAUUAACACCGCUUGCUCUCCCUUUAGCACUCGACAACCCAUCUUCUCAAAAACUACAGUAAAACCAAGAUCCGUGAUUUUACUCACUGAGAGCAGAUUUCCCGCAAGAGACGGAACAUGGAAAACAUUCUCAAGUUUGACGUUGACGCGAGUACCAGAUUCGUUUUCAGAAAAUAAUUCUCCUACACCACAACCAGAUGAUUUUAUAGACUUUCCAUCUGCUAGACAUACAGAAGAUGAUUGUGAUCUAUCGACAUUGUGCAGCAAAGAUAUAUCAUUGGUCAUGUGGGACGUAGCACCAGAAUCCAGAUACCACAGACCAGCUCCAGUUCCUUCAGCCAUCAAACACAACUCGUGCUCACUAGCAAAACUAUUCGCAAUAUUCGCUGUUUGUUUAGUUGGGUUUUCUUUGCCAUUUCGAUCCUGCAUCAAUUUCCGGCAGUCCCGUCGAAAGUGCCCAUUUUUCUUACAAUAAUCCUGUGACAAAAGCCUUUUCACCUGAAGCAGAGUUUUCAGCACGACGCCGCCCUUCAUCAAGUAAUUUGCCUUUCACGAAGUCAACUGUGAGAUCCGCAUCAGGACGACUUUCAAGAGCAACAAUUAGUGAGUCAUAGGACUCGGGAAGACUAGACAGCAUCAAGGCAACGAACCAGAAAUCUUUAACUUCUUCUCCCAACGCAGCCAACCGCAAACGUAAAGAAGUCAUAUCCUUCAAAUGAUUUGCCAUAUUUCCACCUUCAGGCAUUCGCAUAGUAAUCAACCGACGAACAACAUGAAUUACGCUUGACAGAGAUGCUCGUUCGUAGUAAUCUCUCAAUGCAUCCCACAUAGCUUUUGCCGUUGUCUUUUGCAUCACAUGCACCAACUGACUAUCUUCCAAAGCUAAUCCAAUUAACGCUUGUGCUCUCUCGUCAUUCGAUUCCCAAUCUUCAGGUACAGGUUCCGGUUUAACACCUGUCACUACAUU